CCAAUCGAACCCGGAGAUAGCUGGUUCUCCUCGAAAUAGCUUUAGGGCUAGCCUCAUGGAUCAUUGGUGGGGGUAGAGCACUGAAUGUGCGCGGGGGCCACAAAGCCUACCAAACGCUAUCAAACUUCGAAUACCAUACAAUGCAGACCAUGGGAGUCAGUCCGCGAGAGAUAAGUUCCGCGGGCAAAAGGGGAACACCCCAGAUCAACCGCUAAGGUCCCCAAGUUCACGUUAAGUGGAGAAGGAUGUGGAAUUGCACAGACAACCAGGAUGUUGGCUCAGAAGCAGCCACACAUUUAAAGAGUGCGUAAUAGCUCACUGGUCGAGUGAUUGUGCGCCGAAGAUGUCCGGGGCUAAACGUGACACCGAAGCGAUGGGUGCAUCUGAAGAAGAUGCGCGGUAGAGGAGCAAUGUGCAGAGGCAGAAGCCGUAUCGAGAGGCACGGUGGACACUGCACAAGAGAGAAUGCCGGUAUGAGUAGCGAGAGGCAUGCGAGAAACAUGCCCGUCGAAAGCCCAAGGUUUCCUGGGGAAGGUUCAUCCGCCCAGGGUAAGUCGGGGCCUAAGCCGAGGACGGAAGUCGUAGGCGAUGGACAGCAGGUGUAGAUUCCUGCACUACCGAUGGAAUGAAGCAGUGACACAGAAGGAUAACUCGAGCAGGGUGAUGGUCAACCCUGUGCAAGCAUCAAGGUUGGGUUGUAGUGAAGUACGCAACCCUAUAAGCUGAGGUGUGAUGCGGACCGAAAUUUCAGUAGGGAAGCGAGUGAGUUCACGCUGGCGAGAAAAGCUGCUAGUACAUCCAAAGGUACCCGUACCGGAAACCGACGCAGGUGGGCGAGGAGAGAAUCCUGAGACGAACGGGAGAACCCUUGUUAAGGAACUCGGCAAAAUGACCCCGUAACUUCGGGAUAAGGGGUGCCUGCGAGAGCAGGCCGCAGAGAAUAGUCACAAGCGACUGUUUAGCAAAAACACAGGUAUCUGCGAAAGCGAGAGCUGACGUAUAGGUGCUGACACCUGCCCGGUGCUGGAAGGUUAAGGGAACAUGUUAGAGCAAUCGAAGCAUCGAACCGAAGCCCCAGUAAACGGCGGCCGUAACUAUAACGGUCCUAAGGUAGCGAAAUUCCUUGUCGGGUAAGUUCCGACCCGCACGAAUGGUGUAACGACUUGUGAGCUGUCUCAACAGGGGGCCCGGUGAAAUUGAAGUAUGGGUGAAGAUGCCCAUUACCCGCGACUGGACGGAAAGACCCCGUAGAGCUUUACUGCAGCCUGAUAUUGAGUUUCGGUAACUGAUGCACAGGAUAGGUGGGAGUCUGAGAGACACGGGUUUCGGCUCGUGUGGAGACGCUGUUGGGAUACCACUCUUCGGUUACUGAAAUUCUAACAUAGCUCUGUGAAACCAGAGGAUGGACAGUGUCAGGUGGACAGUUUGACUGGGGCGGUCGCCUCCGAAAGAGUAACGGAGGCGCCCAAAGGUACCCUCAGAAUGGAUGGAAACCAUUCGAAGAGCGCAAAGGCAGAAGGGUGCCUGACUGCGAGAUUGACAAAUCGAGCAGAGACGAAAGUCGGGCUUAGUGAUCCGGCGGUAUUGAGUGGAAAAGCCGUCGCUUAACGGAUAAAAGCUACCUCGGGGAUAACAGGCUGAUCUCCCCCAAGAGUCCACAUCGACGGGGAGGUUUGGCACCUCGAUGUCGGCUCAUCGCAUCCUGGGGCUGUAUUCGGUCCCAAGGGUUUGGCUGUUCGCCAAUUAAAGCGGCACGCGAGCUGGGUUCAGAACGUCGUGAGACAGUUCGGUCCCUAUCCAUCGUGGGCGUAGGAGUCAUGAGAGGAGCUGUUCCUAGUACGAGAGGACCGGAAUGGACGCACCACUGGUGCAACUGUUGUCGUGCCAACGGCAUAGCAGGGAAGCGAAGUGCGGAUGGGAUAAACGCUGAAGGCAUCUAAGCGUGAAGCCCACCUCAAGAAUAAGACUCCACAAUAGACCCCUGGAGGACUACCAGGUAGAUAGGUCAUCGGUGGAAGCGCUGUAAGGCGUGUAGCUUGAUGAUACUAAUCGGUCGAAAGCUUCAUUUA
rnacentral:rRNA from 1 species